rnacentral:rRNA from 1 species
GUAGGGAAUAUUGCACAAUGGAGGAAACUCUGAUGCAGCGACGCCGCGUGAGUGAUGAAGGCCUUCGGGUCGUAAAGCUCUGUCGCAGGGGAAUAACACAAUGAAGGUACCCUGCUAGAAAGGAUCGGCUAACUUCGUGCCAGCAGCCGCGGUAAGACGAGGGAUCCUAGCGUUGUUCGGAAUUAUUGGGCGUAAAGCGGGUGCAGGUGGCUUGGUAAGUCAGAUGUGAAAGCCUGGGGCUUAACCCCAGAAGUGCAGUUGAUACUGCUGAGCUUGAGUGCUGGAGAGGCUAUUAGAAUUACUGGUGUAGUGGUGAAAUACGUAGAUAUCAGGAGGAAUACCGGAGGCGAAGGCGGAUAGCUGGCCAGACACUGACACUCAGACCCGAAAGCGUGGGGAUCAAACAGGAUUAGAUACCCUUGUAGUCC